GCUGGGUGUGGUGGCUCACGCCUGUAAUCCCAGCACUUUGGGAGGCUGAGGCGGGUGGAUCACCUGAGGUCAGGAGUUCGAGACCAGCCUGACCAACACGGUGAAACCCUGUCUCUA
rnacentral:SRP_RNA from 1 species